rnacentral:rRNA from 1 species
GACGGAGGGUGCAAGCGUUGCUCGGAAUCACUGGGCGUAAAGGGUGCGUAGGCGGCCGCGCAAGUCUGGCGUGAAAGCCCCGGGCUCAGCCCGGGAAGGGCGCUCGGUACUGGGUGACUAGAGGACCGGAGAGGAUAGUGGAAUUCCCAGUGUAGUGGUGAAAUACGUAGAGAUUGGGAAGAACACCGGUGGCGAAGGCGGCGAGCUGGUCCAUUACUGACGCUGAGGCGCGACAGCGUGGGGAGCAAACAGG